rnacentral:rRNA from 1 species
UAACAUUUUAAAAAAUUUCUUAAAUUUUUAAAUAAAAUUUCUCCUAAAUGUAAAAAGACAUUUAUUUAUAAAAAAGACGAUAAGAGCCUAUUGAACUUAACUGUAGUUAAACUGGGGUAGUAAAUUAAUUAUUACUUUAAUUUAUAAUUUAAAAUCUAAAUCUAUUAUAAUUAAUAAUAAAGUUACCAUAGGGAUAACAGAGCAAUAAUAUUUUGGAGUUGUUAUCUUAAAAAUAGUUUACAACCUCGAUGUUGAUUUAAUAUCCUAACUUAAGCAAAAUUAAAUAAUGGAGGUCUGUUUGACCUAUAAAAAAUUACAUGAUUUGAGUUCAAACCGGUGUAAGCUAGGUUUGUUUCUAUCUUUUAAAAAAUUAUUUACAGUAAGAAAGGAACUAAUUAUAUUGAUUAUUAAUUAAUUGGCAGAAAAUUGCAUUAGAAUUAGAAUCUAAAUAAAAUAUA